UGAAUACGAGGCACUAAGGUGCUGAAGUAGUGUAUGUCAUACUUCCAAGAAAAGCUUGCACUAUCGUAAGAUAAAAAUGCCUGUACCAUAACCGACACAGGUGGGUAGGUAGAGUAUACUAAGGGGCGCGAGAUAACUCUCUCUAAGGAACUCGGCAAAAUAACUCCGUAACUUCGGGAGAAGGAGUGCCUUAUUCUAUAAGGUUGCAAUAACAAGAUCCAAGCAACUGUUUAUCAAAAACACGGGUCUCCGCUAAGUCGUAAGACGAUGUAUGGGGGCUGACGCCUGCCCAGUGCCAGAAGGUUAAAGAAGUCGGUUAGCAAUUGCGAAGCUGGUAACUGAAGCCCUGGUGAACGGCGGCCGUAACAAUAACGGUCCUAAGGUAGCGAAAUUCCUUGUCGGGUAAGUUCCGACCCGCACGAAAGGCGUAAUGAUUUGGAUACUGUCUCGGAGAGGGACUCGGUGAAAUAGACUUGUCUGUGAAGAUGCGGACUACCUGCACCAGGACAGAAAGACCCUAUGAAGCUUUACUGUAACUUGAAAUCGAAAUUGGACUUUAUUCGCGCAGUAUAGGUGGGAGGCGUUGAUUAUAAUCUUGUGGGAUUAUUGGAGCCAUUAGUGAGAUACCACUCUUGUAAUGUUAGAUUUCUAACUUUGAAUCAUGAUCUGGUCAAAGAACAGUUUCAGGCGGGCAGUUUGACUGGGGCGGUCGCCUCCUAAAUGGUAACGGAGGCGUACAAAGGUUUCCUCUGAACGGGUAGAAAUCGUAUCUAGAGUGUAAAGGCAUAAGGAAGCUUGACUGUGAGACCUACAAGUCGAGCAGGGACGAAAGUCGGUCUUAGUGAUCUGACGGUACUGAGUGGAAAGGCCGUCACUCAACGGAUAAAAGUUACUCUAGGGAUAACAGGCUGAUCUCCCCCAAGAGUUCACAUCGACGGGGAGGUUUGGCACCUUGAUGUCGGCUCAUCGCAUCCUGGGGCGGUAGUACGUCCCAAGGGUUGAGCUGUUCGCCCAUGAAAGCGGUACGCGAGCUGGGUUCAGAACGUCGUGAGACAGUUCGGUCCAUAUCCGGUGUAGGCGUUAGAAUAUUGAGAGGAGCCUUCUUUAGUACGAGAGGACCGAGAAGGACAUACCUCUGGUGUACCAGUUAUCGUGCCAACGGUAAACGCUGGGUAGCUAUGUAUGGAGUGGAUAACCGCUGAAAGCAUCUAAGUGGGAAGCCCACCUCAAGAUGAGUAUUCUU
rnacentral:rRNA from 1 species